rnacentral:rRNA from 1 species
AUUGAACGCUGGCGGCAGGCCUAACACAUGCAAGUCGAGCGGAGCGGCGGACGGGUGAGUGAUGCCUAUGAAUCUGCCUGGUAGUGGGGGAUAACGUCAGGAAACGGGCGCUAAUACCGCAUCCUAUCACAUGAGCCUAGGUCGGAUUGGCUAGUUGGUGGGGUAAAGGCCUACCAAGGCGACGAUCCGUAGCUGGUCUGAGAGGAUGACCAGUCACACGGGAACUGAGACACGGUCCAGACUCCUACGGGAGGCAGCAGUGGGGAAUAUUGGACAAUGGGCGAAAGCCUGAGCCAGCCAUGCCGCGUGUGUGAAGAAGGCCUUCGGAUUGUAAAGUUCUUUAAGUUGGGAGGCGUUACCAACAGAAUAAGCACCGGCUAACUCCGUGCCAGCAGCCGCGGUAAUUC